rnacentral:rRNA from 1 species
UGCGAGUCGAGGGGCAGCGCAAGAUAGUUUACUAUUUUGGCGGCGACCGGCGCACGGGUGAGUAACGCGUAUGCAACCUACCUUAUACAGGAGUAUAGCCCGAAGAAAUUCGGAUUAAUCCUCCAUAGUAUUCUUUAAUGGCAUCAUUUGAAGAAUUAAAGCUUCGGCGGUAUAAGAUGGGCAUGCGUCCUAUUAGCUAGAUGGUAAGGUAACGGCUUACCAUGGCUACGAUAGGUAGGGGGCCUGAGAGGGUGAUCCCCCACACUGGUACUGAGACACGGACCAGACUCCUACGGGAGGCAGCAGUGAGGAAUAUUGGGCAAUGGGCGCAAGCCUGACCCAGCCAUGCCGCGUGCAGGAAGAAUGCCCUAUGGGUUGUAAACUGCUUUUAUUUAAGAAUAAACCCCUUUACGUGUAGAGGGCUGAAUGUACUAAACGAAUAAGCACCGGCUAACUCCGUGCCAGCAGCCGCGGUAAUACGGAGGGUGCAAGCGUUAUCCGGAAUCAUUGGGUUUAAAGGGUCCGCAGGCGGAUGUAUAAGUCAGUGGUGAAAUCCUGCAGCUUAACUGCAGAACUGCCAUUGAUACUGUACAUCUUGAAUUCGGUCGAAGUGGGCGGAAUGUGUAGUGUAGCGGUGAAAUGCAUAGAUAUUACACAGAACACCGAUAGCGAAGGCAGCUCACUAGGCCCUGGAUCGACGCUCAGGGACGAAAGCGUGGGGGAUCAAACAGGAUUAGAUACCCCUGGUAGUCCACGCUGUAAACGAUGAUUACU